rnacentral:rRNA from 1 species
GAUGAACGCUGGCGGCGUGCCUAGUACAUGCAAGUCGAGCGAACAGACGAGGAGCUUGCUCCCCUGACGUUAGCGGCGGACGGGUGAGUAACACGUGGAUAACCUACCUAUAAGACUGGGAUAACUUCGGGAAACCGGAGCUAAUACCGGAUAAUAUAUUGAACCGCAUGGUUCAAUAGUGAAAGACGGUUUUGCUGUCACUUAUAGAUGGAUCCGCGCCGCAUUAGCUAGUUGGUAAGGUAACGGCUUACCAAGGCGACGAUGCGUAGCCGACCUGAGAGGGUGAUCGGCCACACUGGAACUGAGACACGGUCCAGACUCCUACGGGAGGCAGCAGUAGGGAAUCUUCCGCAAUGGGCGAAAGCCUGACGGAGCAACGCCGCGUGAGUGAUGAAGGUCUUCGGAUCGUAAAACUCUGUUAUUAGGGAAGAACAAAUGUGUAAGUAACUAUGCACGUCUUGACGGUACCUAAUCAGAAAGCCACGGCUAACUACGUG